rnacentral:lncRNA from 1 species
CUAAAGGGAAGCUAGCCAGAACGACAGAAGGCACCUGGGCUAAUGACAAGGGCCUCCUGGAUUGAUGUUCCAAUAGGAAAGCGAUUUUGCACCAUGACUGACCAAAGUAGAAGACUCUCCAGAUCUAGCCACUGAGAGCCAGCAGUGUAUGUGAGGAACAGUGGCUGAGUGUGGGAAUAUGAGCCAGAGUUGUGGUCUUGGCACCAAACAUAGCUCACUGCUAUUAACUGGGCAGGGACCUGGACCAGCAAGAAUAUCCCAGAUGCAGUGGACAAUUACCCAUCCAACUGGCAUAACCUGUGUUCAAUUACAAAGGCAACUGGCAGCAAGAAAUAACAGCAAGUGAACUGAUCAGAAUCAGAUCCCUUCUGCAUGUGCACCACAGACUGGGGAAGUGGCCUAUUAUAUCAGCUUUCAGGAGCCUUCUGCUCAGAUAGGAAGACAAGACUCACAUAGAGAACAACACGAGAAAGUGUACAAAAUUGCUUUUAUGUGCCAAAGGAUUUCAGGGACUGGAGAGAUUGUUAUGGAUGGUCACAGGAGGCUCAUGGAGGCUGCGACUGAGCCCAAAAGAACGAAGACUGCUUAGGAAGGCAGAGGAGAGUGUUAGGAGAAAGCCACAUUCCAUGCAAAGGUUUCCUAGGUGCAAAUGCAUAAAGCAUGCUGG